rnacentral:rRNA from 1 species
GCAGCCAUCAUUUAAAGAAAGCGUAAUAGCUCACUGGUCGAGUCGGCCUGCGCGGAAGAUGUAACGGGGCUAAACCAUGCACCGAAGCUGCGGCAGCGACGCUGUGCGUUGUUGGGUAGGGGAGCGUUCUGUAAGCCUGCGAAGGUGUGCCGUGAGGGUUGCUGGAGGUAUCAGAAGUGCGAAUGCUGACAUAAGUAACGAUAAAGCGGGUGAAAAGCCCGCUCGCCGGAAGACCAAGGGUUCCUGUCCAACGUUAAUCGGGGCAGGGUGAGUCGACCCCUAAGGCGAGGCCGAAAGGCGUAGUCGAUGGGAAACGGGUUAAUAUUCCCGUACUUGGUGUUACUGCGAAGGGGGGACGGAGAAGGCUAUGUUGGCCGGGCGACGGUUGUCCCGGUUUAAGCGUGUAGGUGUGUGUUCCAGGUAAAUCCGGUUCACUUUAACACUGAGGCGUGAUGACGAGGCACUACGGUGCUGAAGCAACAAAUGCCCUGCUUCCAGGAAAAGCCUCUAAGCAUCAGGUAACAUCAAAUCGUACCCCAAACCGACACAGGUGGUCAGGUAGAGAAUACCAAGGCGCUUGAGAGAACUCGGGUGAAGGAACUAGGCAAAAUGGUGCCGUAACUUCGGGAGAAGGCACGCUGACACGUAGGUGAAGUGAUUUACUCACGGAGCUGAAGUCAGUCGAAG